CCCAGCGCGGCGGGGCCGGCGUCUCCUGGCUGCCGUCACUUCCGGUUCUCUGUCAGUCGCGAGCGAACGACCAAGAGGGUGUUCGACUGCUAGAGCCGAGCGAAGCGAUGCCUAAAUCAAAGGAACUUGUUUCUUCAAGCUCUUCUGGCAGUGAUUCUGACAGUGAGGUUGACAAAAAGUUAAAGAGGAAAAAGCAAGUUGCUCCAGAAAAACCUGUAAAGAAACAAAAGACAGGUGAGACUUCGAGAGCCCUGUCAUCUUCUAAACAGAGCAGCAGCAGCAGAGAUGAUAACAUGUUUCAGGGAGACUUGACACUGGCAUCUUUGUACAAGAAGGAUUUGUGAGGAAGGGAUGUUGGGGAAUAAAUGAAUGCAGAUUGGGAAAAUGAGGUACGUUAGUGUUCGCGAUUUUAAAGGCAAAGUGCUAAUUGAUAUUAGAGAAUAUUGGAUGGAUCCUGAAGGUGAAAUGAAACCAGGAAGAAAAGGUAUUUCUUUAAAUCCAGAACAAUGGAGCCAGCUGAAGGAACAGAUUUCUGACAUUGAUGAUGCAGUAAGAAAACUGUAAAAUUCGAGCCAUAUAAAUAAAACCUGUACUGUUCUAGUUGUUUUAA
rnacentral:lncRNA from 1 species